rnacentral:rRNA from 1 species
UACGAAGGGAGCUAGCGUUGUUCGGAAUCACUGGGCGUAAAGCGCACGUAGGCGGAUCGUUUAGUCGGGGGUGAAAUCCCGGGGCUCAACCUCGGAACUGCCUUCGAUACUGGCGAUCUUGAGUCCGGGAGAGGUGGGUGGAAUUCCUAGUGUAGAGGUGAAAUUCGUAGAUAUUAGGAAGAACACCAGUGGCGAAGGCGGCCCACUGGCCCGGUACUGACGCUGAGGUGCGAAAGCGUGGGGAGCAAAC